GUAACGCCUGCCCUGUGGAAACCCUAAACGGCCGCGGCAUAUAACCGUGCAAAGGUAGCACAAUCACUUGUCCCUUAAAUGAGGACCCGUAUGAAAGGCAACAUGAGAGAGGACCUGUCUCCUAAGAUAAACCAAUGAAAUUGAAUUGCCAGUACAAAAGCUGGCAUUUACCAGCAAGACAAAAAGACCCCAUGGAACUUUAAUAACCCAUUAAAAAAUUUUAAUGGUAAUUUCGGUUGGGACAACCAUGGAAAAACAAAAUUUUCAAAUCUGAUACGACCAACAAGUCUAAUACACAAUUCGACCCAGUCAAACUGAUUAAAGAAACAAGCUACCCUGGGGAUAACAGCGCCACCUUCUUAAAGAGUUCUUAUCAACAAGAAGACCUACGACCUCGAUGUUGGAUCAGGGUAUCCUGACGGUGUAGCAGCUGUCAAAGGUUCGUUUGUUCAACGAUUAAUACCCUACGUG
rnacentral:rRNA from 1 species